rnacentral:misc_RNA from 1 species
AGGUGUCUGCUGCGAAAAGAGGUGCCCGGUGCCUAUGCCUGCUCCCCCCCCCAUCCUUCGAGGAGGAUGGGCGAGCCAUGGCAUAGGCACACCCCGGUCGGCGGAUCGGUGAAAGGUUGUGGGUUUUUGACGGUCGGAACCUUUCAUCGAUCCGCCGGCCACGGCCUGUGGGAAAGUAGUGCUCUGUUCGAUCUUUCUCGAGAGGAGAGGGACGGUUCAACUCGGAUUUUGGUCUUUCCAACGUACUUCACAGAAACGUGAGCAUGGCUUCGGCUGUGGGAUCGGAGUAAUGAGGAUGCCGCGGUCGGGUCAGGUGUGGGUUUUUUAACCUCUCGUUGGAGAUCGGCACUGUCAUUAAUUUCUCAUUUGGCCGUUGGUGGAGAUUAUUCAUUAAUCUCCAUCAUGUCCCGUCGGAAAAAAUUUUCAAAUCCGUCGCAAAAUUUUUCAAAUGUUUUCACUUGGUCUGGUGGGCUCGUAGUGCUUUGUUCAAUCUUUCUCGAGAGGAGAGGGACGGUUCAACUCGGAUUUUGGUCUUUCCAACGUACUUCACAGAAACGUGAGCAUGGCUUCGGCUGUGGGAUCGGAGUAAUGAGGAUACCGCGGUUGGGUCAUUAAAUGGGUUUUUUAACCUCUCGUUGGAGAUUGGCCCUGUCACUACUUUCUCACAUGGCCGUUGUCAUGUCCCGUCGCAAAGUUUUUCAAAUGUUUUCACUUGGUCAAGUGGGCUCGUAGUGCUUUGUUCAAUCUUUCUCGAGAGGAGAGGGACGGUUCAACUCGGAUUUUGGUCUUUCCAACGUACUUCACAGAAACGUGAGCAUGGCUUCGGCUGUGGGAUCGGAGUAAUGAGGAUACCGCGGUYGGGUCAGUGUCUGGGUUUUUCGUUGUCAUUUCCCUUCGCAAAGUUUUUCAAAUGUUUUCACUCGGCCGUCGGUGGAGAGAUUAUUCAUUAUUUUCCACAUCACAACAUCCCGAAAAAAAUGCGGAAGAACUAGCAUGCUUCGGCUUGUGCUAACUUGAUGCAUCAAAAGGUUUGUUGCGGUGGGUUGGGGGUAAUGGAGAAUCGUUUGUUUUUGAAACCAAAAAAAAUAAAAAUUGUUUUCUUGUCCCUCGAAGGUUUUUGUCCCUCGGAUUGUGUGCUUCUUCGCGUGAAGCGGUGCUGGUGUGGCCUUGCUUGAUGUUUCCGCAUGCUCAGCGGUUCUAGUAACCGUUGGGUUGUGGUUCGUUUGGUUGGGUCAUCAUCAAGUGUACGCAACUCACGUGUGAGUGGUGGUUGGAUGGCAUGGGUCUGCAAGCUCCUUGCUCAGCGCAACGAAUUGCAAGCUCUCUAUCCUUUUCAUAGUCCUUCCCCAAGCAUGGUCAUUUGCCUUGUGGGUAAGAUCGGUAUCCUGUGCGUUUUACCAAUUGAAUGGAACUCGAUAGUUUUCAUUUCUCUAUUCGGCCGGUUCCCUUAGGGGUGUUGGGUGGACGAUAGGCCGACCUCGUGUUCCAGGUACAUCUCGCAUUUUUUGCGUGGUUACCAUGGCCCAUGGGGUUGUGCUUGUUCUCUUGGAUGCGGAUCGUUAGUUGUGGGCGAGGGGUUACGACCUCCAUUCGUCCAAUCUAAUAUGCAUUUGUCAAUCGACACGAACGACUGCCGCACUUGUCUUGGCUUUUACGGUCGAACGGCCGUACAAUGUCCAUGCGAGUGUCGGUGUCGUGAAGGAAUGC